AAGGGCAGAAACGUCAUUU
rnacentral:sRNA from 1 species